rnacentral:rRNA from 1 species
AGUGAACGCUGGCGGUAGGCCUAACACAUGCAAGUCGAACGGCAGCACAGUAAGAGCUUGCUCUUACGGGUGGCGAGUGGCGGACGGGCGAGGAAUACAUCGGAAUCUACUUUUUCGUGGGGGAUAACGUAGGGAAACUUACGCUAAUACCGCAUACGACCUACGGGUGAAAGCAGGGGAUCUUCGGACCUUGCGCGAUUGAAUGAGCCGAUGUCGGAUUAGCUAGUUGGCGGGGUAAAGGCCCACCAAGGCGACGAUCCGUAGCUGGUCUGAGAGGAUGAUCAGCCACACUGGAACUGAGACACGGUCCAGACUCCUACGGGAGGCAGCAGUGGGGAAUAUUGGACAAUGGGCGCAAGCCUGAUCCAGCCAUACCGCGUGGGUGAAGAAGGCCUUCGGGUUGUAAAGCCCUUUUGUUGGGAAAGAAAAGCAGCAGGUUAAUACCCCGCUGUUCUGACGGUACCCAAAGAAUAAGCGCCGGCUAACUUCGUG